rfam:Salmo salar isolate Sally breed double haploid chromosome ssa09, whole genome shotgun sequence.
UGCACUCACUACUGUAAGUCGCUCUGGAUAAGGGCGUCUGCUAAAUGACUAAAA